rnacentral:rRNA from 1 species
UACGUAGGGCGCAAGCGUUGUCCGGAAUUAUUGGGCGUAAAGAGCUCGUAGGCGGUUUGUCGCGUCUGCUGUGAAAGUCCGAGGCUCAACCUCGGAUCUGCAGUGGGUACGGGCAGACUAGAGUGUGGUAGGGGAGACUGGAAUUCCUGGUGUAGCGGUGGAAUGCGCAGAUAUCAGGAGGAACACCAAUGGCGAAGGCAGGUCUCUGGGCCACAACUGACGCUGAGACGCGAAAGCGUGGGGAGCGAACAGG